GGGCGGCCUUGUGCAUAAGAGAGAUAAGUAUGGUGCUUUGUGGGUGAUAUGCCAGGCAUAGCUGAAUAGCUGGCUGUGUAUCCAACCUGAGAGCUUUAAAUGGGAAGGCUUCAACAAUGCUAAGUCCAUGGGGUGAGGUCCCUGGAGUUACAUUGACCACAUAAGCUGCCCGAAGGGCCUUUGGCUGUCUGUGGAAAGACAGCCACUCUUGUCCAGUCUGCCAAGUGUAACAAAGGCUCCGAUGCUGCAAUGUAGGGCACUUAUUUGUGAAGAAUGAAAGAAACACAGAUUUCUCGAGAACCAUGCGUGAACUCAAGACACUGAGCGCCUCAUAGACAAUUAAAUGAUUCGGAAGCACAAACACUGUUAUACUGUGGGAAAUGUGGCAGGGAAUUUGCACUGUACAAGUUA